rnacentral:rRNA from 1 species
UACAGAGGUCUCAAGCGUUGUUCGGAUUCAUUGGGCGUAAAGGGCGCGUAGGCGGCCACGCACGUCCGUUGUGAAAUCGCCCGGCUCAACUGGGCGGGGUCAGCGGAUACGGUGUGGCUAGAGCAAGCUAGGGGGCAAUGGAAUUCCCGGUGUAGUGGUGGAAUGCGUAGAUAUCGGGAGGAACACCAGUGGCGAAGGCGGUUGCCUGGAGCUUUGCUGACGCUGAUGCGCGAAAGCGUGGGGAGCGAUCCGG